rnacentral:piRNA from 1 species
UCAUAUUUUAAAUGUUUGCAUGUGUGCUU